rnacentral:rRNA from 1 species
GAGGUUGGUUUGGGCUUGGUCAUAUUGGUUGGGCCCCGAAGUACGUUAAACCACGUGUCCUUUCCCUUUGGGUUGGGAUGUGCGAUACACUUACCAAGUGUUGCACGCUUUGGGUGUUCAUCGUGCCUCCUUGCCAGUGCACUUUCUCAUAGUGGUCACCACGACCGAUGCCGCUGUCAGGCUGUCAUAGUUAAACCGGUCUUGUAGUGUCCUUGUGGCAUUGCCUGGUCGGGAUGGCAGGUAGCUUGUUGGCUUGCUUCGGCUUGCUUUCGAGUGUAAUCAGCUGACUGUGACGGUUCUGUGCAGUGCGUCGGAGACGGCGGCCAGUGGUGUGUGCAUGCGUGCCCGAUUUGCUGGCGUACCCUGGUUUGGUUUCUUUGUUGCCUGUGACAGCAGGUCUGGUUAUGGCUGGGGUUCGUUCGGCGGAUAGUUGCGUGUGUGACACUUCCAAGGGCCAAUAGUCUGUGGUGUAGUGGUAGACUAUCCACCUGACCCGUCUUGAAACACGGACCAAGGAGAGUAACAUGUGCGCGAGUCAUUGGGCGUAACGAAACCCACAGGCGCAGUGAAAGUGAAGGUUUGGCUUGUCCAGAUUGAGGUGAGAUCCUGUCGUGUCCCACGCGUGGUGUCACCAAGCACGGAGCGGCAGGCGCAUCACCAGCCCGUCGCAUGACGUUGUCUCAUCCUCGGAUUGUGCAUCGUCGUGGCGGAGCAUGAGCGUACAUGUUGAGACCCGAAAGAUGGUGAACUAUGCUUGCGCAGGUUGAAGCCAGAGGAAACUCUG